UCGACUAUUCCAGAAUGAGGAGGGAGAGAAAUUUGCUCUCCAUUCUUCGUACACCCUCCACCUUCCUUUCCGUUCUAUCGCCGGUGACUAUGAGUGCCGGAGUCUGCCUCUUCAUCCUCCUUUGCGACUGACGCCAGUGGCCUCCUUACUUUCUCGAGCUGGCUCAUGUCUGAACUGGGGAAGAGUAAGAGAAAAUCUGUCACCUUCUUCCUCCUCUUCAUAGCUCGCCACUGUCGUAGCAAGCUUUGGGUUCUUCAAUGUUUUACUAUGGAAGUUAGUUCGCUGUUGUAAGGGGCUCAGAUUGAGGCUGUCUCUUCCCCUUGCACCACCACCGUUCUUCUUUUGCCUUUGUCAUUGGCCUUGCUGUUCUGCAUGUUCGAAUAUGGAGAGAGAAGUUCAAGCAAGUUGACGUAUUGGUCUUUUGAGGACGAUGAAGAAGAAUUUAAGGACAAAGCAUUGUUCCUAGAAGAUUUGUUUGGAAGUAAGUUAUACACUUGGGACCUCUACAGAUAAUGUGAAUGGCUUUGGACUUCUAGUUGAUCAUUAAGGGCCAUCUUUUGACUUGAAGUGAAGAGUUAAUGACCACCCUCUUUUUGUUGUAAAGAUUUAAAUAUGAAAUUUUAUUUUGUAAAUUUUAUUGUAGGAGCUCUACAUAACUAUAGUUAAAGCCCUUAUAUGUGUAUUAUGCUUGAUUUGUUUGGUAGAAGGAGCAUAGCUCCUUGUUGAAUGUUAUUUGUUACUAAAAGAAAAUACUGUUAUUGAAAUCUUGGAGUCUUAUUUUGAGAAUGGUCAUGUUAAAAUUUUAAAAAUAAAAUAAAAUAAAAUACAACCUUUUGUU